CUGACGAACAGCAAGAAAUCCUUGUGUUGCGGGAGCGGUGCCGUCGGCGACCCAGCGUCACCGGGUGGUCCGUGCGGAUGAGACGAAUUCGGUGCCGCAAGUCCGUUCGCAAACACAAGCACUCCGCCUUUGGAGACGAAAAUGGUUCGAUCGAGCAAAACACGUACGUGAAUGUGGAAACCCUCGAGGAGGACUUCAGCGAAGAGGAUUACGAUGACUCUUUCGACUCGGACUCCUCUUUCGAAAGCGAUCAGAAACUGCCCGAAAAGUUGCCGGAGCCACCGCACGCGACGCAGAACAUCUACGGCCUGGUGAAGCAGGCCGGGAAGCGAAUGCGGAAGCACUGGUCGCUGAGCUCGCUGGGGCUUAACCGAAUCCGGAAGAUGAGCAUCGGCGCGGUGCCGUUCCCGCAGCCCCCGAAGGACCCGUACCCGCCCACCUCGGGCGCCACCACCAACGGGGCUGCCAACGGCAACGGCCUCAACCGCCGUCGCUGGUCCUCCUUCAAGAGCAAGUUCCGCAACCCCACGCACUCUACCUCAACCUUCUAUCUCAACGAUGAGCCCAGCGAUGCCACCGCCCCGCCCCUCCCCCUCAGCCUGCCCCCAGGAGCGAGGAGCUCCCACUCCCCGCCGAAAGGCCUCCGCCGGACCCUCGUCGUCUCAGCACCGCCAGGCCCAGCUCCCCGCCGCCUCCCCCUCCGCCCGUUAGACCGGCAAGAGGUAAAUCAUCUUUCAACCAGAGUUUCAAUUUUUCACCCAUUUUUACCCAUUUUUUACCCACCCUAG
rnacentral:lncRNA from 1 species